UGCAAUCCGUUUGUAGGUUGAUGCCAGUGCUAUCAGAGGACUGGACUCCUUACUAGAAAAGAGCUUUGAAUUUACAGUUUUCAUUUCAUCUGAACUAUUCAAGUGGCCUUCAUUUCCCUGCUGCUGGCCUGAUCCUAAGUGCAAAGAAGCUGUUAUUAGUGGGAUUGGUCUGGUUUCCCCUGCAUCUCUUGAGACAGAGUACAACUGGAGCCCAUCAUUUGUCAGAAAGACCAGAAUUUCUUUUUUAUGGCUGUAAAGAAAGAGGAGAAAAGAACAAUGCUGGAGUUGAGUGACCCGUAAGUUUAAUUACUUGUAUGUUGGAACUUCUGAAUGUUAUAAACUGCUCAUGCCACCAAAGUUACCGAGUUCCUUAGGCUGGGAUAGUUGUGCUGGCUGUGCUGGGCAGGUGCGGAGGUAGGUAGGGUCCUUCUUUCUGCUUCCCACCAUCCAGUCACAUCGUUACAGUCACAGUGCCGUUCACUGCUGCAGUAAUGGCGUGAGGAUUUUGCGUACAGAAAGGGAGUCAAACAUGCAUUUUAUGAUAGUAACCUAAUAUAAUUGUAUAGCUGUUACAGUAUGUGUUAUCAUUACAUUACAGUACUUUGAAAAAAAGGGCAGAAUUUAGAAUAUCUUGUACUGCACCCAAAAGAGCGUUAUCUAGUACAGUUUUUAAAUAGUCUGUGAGUGUAGUAAAAUACCUGCUUAUCUUAAAAAGAGUUGUCAUAUCAGGUAGAUAAUACUUGUUUAAAAAUGUGAGCACAUACCAGAGUACUUGUUCACCUAAUCUAUUAUUUAUGGAAAAAUGUAUUAGACUAAUAUCAUGGGCCAAAAUAUCCUUUAGUGCAGGCUGGUAAAGCCACUUGGGAUUUAUGUAACUGUGCCAAUUAUACUAGCAAAUAACUUCACUUUGUAUUUUUAUAUAUUUAACAGAUAGACUAUUUGAAUUAACAAAGCUCUGUAAUAGCUCAUGUUGACAUCUUGGAAAAUAAACUUUAUAUAAUUUAAAGAAAGUAAAGGUGC
rnacentral:lncRNA from 1 species